AGCUCCAAUAGCGUAUAUUAAAAUUGUUGCGGUUAAAACGCUCGUAGUUGGAUAUUUGUCAAGGACCAUCGGUCUACCCUAGUGGUCAGCACGCGACGUGUCCUCGGCACUUUCCUGGAGACAGUGUUCGUACUUAAUUGUGUGGCACAGGAACCAGAACUUUUACUUUGAGGAAAUGAGAGUGUUUCAAGCAGGCGUACGUCGUGAAUACGUUAGCAUGGAAUAAUAGCAUAGGACCCCGGUCUAAAGCUGUUGGUUUUUGGGCCGAGGUAAUGAAAAUAGGGAUAGUUGGGGGCAUUCGUAUUUAACUGUCAGAGGUGAAAUUCUUGGAUUUUUAAAGACGGACUACUGCGAAAGCAUCUGCCCAGGAUGUUUUAUUAAUCAAGAACGAAUUAAA
rnacentral:rRNA from 1 species